rnacentral:rRNA from 2 species
CCUACGGGAGGCAGCAGUAGGGAAUAUUGCGCAAUGGAGGGAACUCUGACGCAGCGACGCCGCGUGAGCGAUGAAGGUUUUCGGAUCGUAAAGCUCUGUCCUUGGGGAAGAAGGGAGUCGAAAGACGCCUUGACGGUACCCAUGGAGGAAGCCCCGGCUAACUACGUGCCAGCAGCCGCGGUAAUACGUAGGGGGCAAGCGUUGUCCGGAAUUAUUGGGCGUAAAGGGUGCGUAGGCGGCCCUUUAAGUCAGAUGUGAAAGCCCACGGCUUAACCGUGGGAUUGCAUUUGAAACUGGAGGGCUUGAGUGUCGGAGAGGGUAGUGGAAUUCCCAGUGUAGCGGUGGAAUGCGUAGAUAUUGGGAGGAACACCAGUGGCGAAGGCGACUGCCUGGACGAUAACUGACGCUGAGGCACGAAAGCUAGGGGAGCAAACAGGAUUAGAUACCCCAGUAGUC